GGGUUGGGGUUGGGGUUGGGGUUGGAGUUUGGGUUCAGGGUCAAAGGUCAGAGGUCCAAAAAAUUGAACCUCCUUCCUUCUCCCCCUCACCCUCUACUCCUCCCCCUAAUGUGCACGGGCCAUCCUGUCAGGAGUCCACCAGGUGGAGCCUACCUCUCAUUCAGACCCUUUGGGAUCUGUGUAUCCAGCCUGUGGAUCCAGAUUCUUUCAGCCCUUCUCCUCUGGGCUGAAGACCAGGCUGGGUUACAUUCCAGCACCAGGGCUGAAACUGCAUCCCAGCCAUGACGUAUAAAAUGCUGCACUAAAGUGCAGCUGCUUGAAGAAUCCACUCUGACCUUUGACCUUUGGUGUCUUCAAAGGUUUGACCUCAGCACGGACGAGGAAAUCCCUCAGGAGUCCACCAGGUGGAGCCUACCUCUCAUUCAGACCCUUUGGGAUCUGUGUAUCCAGCCUGUGGAUCCAGAUUCUUUCAGCCCUUCUCCUCUGGGCUGAAGACCAGGCUGGGUUACAUUCCAGCACCAGGGCUGAAACUGCAUCCCAGCCAUGACGUAUAAAAUGCUGCACUAAAGUGCAGCUGCUUGAAGAAUCCACUCUGACCUUUGACCUUUGGUGUCUUCAAAGGUUUGACCUCAGCACGGACGAGGAAAUCCCUCAGGUUUUUAUUCCUUUUGUAGGCCGCAAUUAUUUUGUAAUUUGGGAGCAAGGAAGUGUCAGAUUGGAAUUUAGUGAAAUUCUGUUUAACCUUGUAAACAAAUUGUCCUGCUGAGGAGGAGAAUGUUGUGAUCAGAGGGAUCAUCGGAGAUGAAUCGGGGGGUCUGGACUCAAGGAAGUUUUUCCUGCCUGCUCUCAGGAAAGACCUGGAAUAUCCUCUCUUACGAAGAGCAGAAAACAGAGUUCUAGUUGCCUCCUCAAAGUCUGUUUUCUGUGUGCAAAUCCUAUGAAAUCUGAGGAGUUGUGAUUUGAUUAGGCCAGCAUAAGUGUGCCUUGGGUGGUGACUAGUUUUAAAUAGCAGAGCAUGUGUGUCUGUGGGUUUAAAGAAAACUUUAAUCUCUAAUUUGUGUGUUGUAUCAAAAUUUGGACCUUUAUAUGUGGUGGUAUCCAGAAAGUCGACCGCUUUAACGCUGGUAGUGGACUUUACUGUGAUAGAUGGGUUAUGUGUAUUCAGGUGCUGGAGGAAUUCCUGAAAUUCUGCUUCAGAAUGGGUCCAGACCCCCCAGAUGUCAUCCAGGUACCGAUAGUAGUGCAGGGGUGCCCUCCUGCACGUACGAAUGGCACCGGUCUCCCACUCGGCCAUGAAAAUGUUGGCAUAGGCCGGUGCAAAUUUCUUACCCAUGGCUGUGCCUUUAACCUGGAGGAAGAAUUGGCCAUCAAAAACAAAAUCAUUUCUUUUUAAAUUAAUCUCUAAUAAUUGAAUGAGUUCACGAUCUGGCCUCCUCGAAUCUGGAUAUUUCAAAAAUACGUUUUUAAUACAAUCAAUUCCUUCAUCUAUGUCAAUAUUUGUGUACAAACUGUCGAUGUCAAUUGUAAAUAGAAUAGAGUCCUGAGGUAGAGAAAUUAAUUUAAUUUUUUCCACAAAAUCAUAAGUGUCUUUGAUAUAACUUUGGUGCCGAAUUGAUAGGGGAUAUAAAUAAUGAUCAAUAAACUCCGCUGUGUGGUAGGUUUCGCUCCCACAGUCGGAGACAAUAGGUC